rnacentral:rRNA from 1 species
CCUACGGGUGGCAGCAGUCGAGAAUCAUUCACAAUGGGGGAAACCCUGAUGGUGCGACGCCGCGUGGGGGAAUGCAGGUCUUCGGAUUGUAAACCCCUGUUAUGUGGGAGUAAAUUACAAAGAUAGUACCACAAGAGGAAGAGCCGGCUAACUCUGUGCCAGCAGCCGCGGUAAUACAGAGGUCCCAAGCGUUGUUCGGAUUCCCUGGGCGUAAAGGGUGCGUAGGCUGUUUCGUAAGUCGUGUGUGAAAGGUGCGGGCUCAACCCGCGGACGGCACACGAUACUGCGAGACUAGAGUAAUGGAGGGGGAGCCGGAAUGCUCGGUGUAGCAGUGAAAUGCUUAGAUAUCG